rnacentral:lncRNA from 1 species
AUGGAAGGGCUCAUCUAUAUCCUCUGAGGUAGUAUGUGCUGAUUAGAAAAAAAGAAAAGAAAGAUGUUAUUUAGUUGUGUAGUGGUAACAAGAUUUAAAUCCGAUACACCAAUCCAAGAACUUACUUGUGCUCGGUUCUUGUCUCUCUUCUUGUACAGUAACACCAGGAGCCUUAUAGUUCAUGCUCUCCCGGUCUGAAUCCUUUUUCUGAGUUGCGUGUGAAGGUUUCGAAUCCCGAUUCUGCAACGAUAUUGACAGGUAAGGAAUCACAAACCAAGGAACAUAUAGCAAGAUGUUGAUUUUCAGGUAAAGUACCAUAGCGGGGAUAUCUGGAGUCGAUUUCUUUUGUUGAUCAGGAAUGUUUACAGUAUCUUUGGCAUUAGCAGCAUCAUGAUUGAUAUCAGUCUUGGGAGUUUCUUUAGCUCUCCAUCUAGAGCUUUGU